CAGUAGCCGCGGUAAUACGAAGGGUGCAAGCGUUAAUCGGAAUUACUGGGCGUAAAGCGUGCGUAGGUGGUGGUUUAAGUCCGUUGUGAAAGCCCUGGGCUCAACCUGGGAAUUGCAGUGGAUACUGGGUCACUAGAGUGUGGUAGAGGAUAGUGGAAUUUCCGGUGUAGCGGUGAAAUGCGUAGAGAUCGGGAGGAACAUCAGUGGCGAAGGCGGCCAUCUGGGACAACACUGACGCUGAGGCACGAAAGCGUGGGGAGCAAACAGGAUUAGAGACCCCCGUAGUCCCUGUCUCUUAUAA
rnacentral:rRNA from 1 species